GCCCGCUUGCGGGGGGAUUAGUGGCGAACGGGUGAGUAACACGUGAGUAACCUGCCCUUAACUCUGGGAUAAGCCUUGGAAACGGGGUCUAAUACUGGAUAUUGACUUUUCCUCGCAUGGGGUUUGGUUGAAAGAUUUAUUGGUUUUGGAUGGACUCGCGGCCUAUCAGCUUGUUGGUGAGGUAAUGGCUCACCAAGGCGACGACGGGUAGCCGGCCUGAGAGGGUGACCGGCCACACUGGGACUGAGACACGGCCCAGACUCCUACGGGAGGCAGCAGUGGGGAAUAUUGCACAAUGGGCGCAAGCCUGAUGCAGCGACGCCGCGUGAGGGAUGACGGCCUUCGGGUUGUAAACCUCUUUCAGUAGGGAACAAGGCCAGUGUUUAGCUGGUUGAGGGUACUUGCAGAAGAAGCGCCGGCUAACUACGUGCCAGCAGCCGCGGUAAUACGUAGGGCGCAAGCGUUAUCCGGAAUUAUUGGGCGUAAAGAGCUCGUAGGCGGUUUGUCGCGUCUGCCGUGAAAGUCCGGGGCUCAACCCCGGAUCUGCGGUGGGUACGGGCAGACUAGAGUGAUGUAGGGGAGACUGGAAUUCCUGGUGUAGCGGUGAAAUGCGCAGAUAUCAGGAGGAACACCGAUGGCGAAGGCAGGUCUCUGGGCAUUAACUGACGCUGAGGAGCGAAAGCAUGGGGAGCGAACAGGAUUAGAUACCCUGGUAGUCCAUGCCGUAAACGUUGGGCACUAGGUGUGGGGGACAUUCCACG
rnacentral:rRNA from 1 species